rnacentral:lncRNA from 1 species
GCUAUUCAUAUAAUUAUUAUAGUUUGAUUAAGAUCGCCAAUAGGUAAAUACUAUUUGACACAUAUAUCAUGACUUGUUUUAUAAUUUCUUGAAUAUUCUAUAUCAAUAACAAUACAUAGUAAAAAAUUUCAUAGUGAGCAAAUAGUUUUGAAUUUUUUGUUUGUUAAUAACAUCAACCUUGUAAUUAUUCCGGAAAAUAUUUUUUAAUUCUUUAAAGAACAUGUGAUAAUCAUUCUUUUAAUGCUUCAUAUUCCUAAAAUUUUUAAUUUGUUAGAUUGUCUUCACCCAACUAGUUCAUUUCAUCCAAUUUUUUAAUCAAUUAAACAAUUCUUAUAAUGAUGUACUUAAUAUUUUUUAAAUUGACCAAUCAGUAAAUUUUUUUUUCAUUAUUACUAUUUUAGUGUGAAGUAAGUUUUAUAGGAAUGAACUGUGAUCUGACACAAAAGUUAUCAUAAUGAAAAGAUUUCUUCUUAUAAUAAUAAGUCAGAAAAAGAUCCCAAAAUCAUAUUCAUCAUUCUUUUUAUUGAGUAUAUUUCUAUUUCAACCAUACCUGUAUGAGAUAUCUUCAUUUCCGAAUCUUAGAUUAGCGAUUACUUUAAAAAGUUUUGCGACAGAUUAAAUUCCAUACUCAUACAUGCAAGAACUAUUUUUCUAGAAUUCGAUCUUCAAAAUAUAAGUGUUUAGUUAUAGAUCAGUCAUCAACAGUAUCAAAUUUUUACUGAAUUAAAGUCUAUACCUUAAAAAGUUUUAUUAAUAUAUCAUAAUGAAUAGUUAUCAAUAGUCAUAAUUCAUAUUAUUAUUUUCAAGAUUAAAAAAAUAGCCAUAUCAUAAAAAAAGAAAACAAAAAUCAGUUCAUUUUUUUGACGUUCCGGAAAACAUGUUAAAUUUUGCUAAAUUAGCUGGAAAUCUGUCAUGAUGGCAAUACUGCAUAUAUGAACGUUAUACUAAAAAAUCCAGUCACAAUGGAAUUUUAAAUGAAAGACAACACUUUUUCUGUAUUUUAAUCCGUCAAAGAUAAUGUAGACGAAUAACAUUUCUGAUGUUUGAUAUUGAGAUAUUGAAAAAGAGCAUUGGGAAUAAAUAUCUAUGAACUAAGAGAAUUGAAGACGACAUUUUAGCAUUCUUAAAUAAUUCAUUUUUCCUUUAUUUUUUGACAGAUGAUUAUAACUUAAAAUCGAGUCAGAGCUUCAACAUAAACUAAAUCAUUCUUAUUUUAUAUAAAAAUGUAAUCAGAUAUGUACUUUUACAACUAAAAUGUCUAAAAAAUUCAGUUGUCAAUACAACGUGAUACGAGGAUUGUUAGGAGGAACAUGCAACUGUACUCAUGAUUCCUUUAUUUGUUAACCAAUUUUUAAAAUUCUAAAUCGAGAUAAAUCUUAAGAACGAAUUGGAUAUAUGGUUAUUUUAUUAAUAUUAAUGACCUACGUUAUUUCGAGGGUCAUUGAUAGGAAAAUGCAAAUAAUUUGCGUUAUUCAGUUUUAUUAUAAAAUUACAGUUAUUCAGUUUGAGUUACUCAACUUUGAAUCAAGUAACAAAUAAAGUAAAUUGCAGUAAAAUAACUAGAUGUUUAUUGACCAAAUGUUGGUUUUAUCUUACUGAAUUGAGUCCAUUAUUUAAUUAACAAUUAUUAACAAAGAUACACUGAGCUAGUAGUAUACUUUUCAGCGUGGUAUCAACAACUCAUAUUAAUUUAUUUAUUUAUCACACAACAAAUACGUUCAGUAUUUGUUCUAUACAACGAGAUUAUGUGAUGGUUCUGGACUCUAAUCUUUCGAAAGGUUGGGUAGCUUUGAUUAAAGUACCUGUUUGAUCUUGAUAAAAUUUAAGUUUGAACUCCUUACAUUCUAAGCAGUUUCGAGUCUUUUUCUUUAUGUCUUCGAUUGAGUAAGGAAGGUUUCUGACUCUUACGAAAUGAGGCAACCUAGUGAUAUCGGGGUGGCAUGGAUUUUGAUGUAUAAUUUUCAUAUUAGAGAAUAACGAAGGGAUAGGGAUAUUUAUAGCUGAGGUCCUUGUGGAGACAUUCAAAGGAGGUCUGUGUCUACCAAAAGGGAAAUUAAACAGAGAAUGUAGUCCCAGGAAGUUGUACCAUAGGAUACAAUCACAGCACAAAUCCUCCAUCACUAGCAGAGUGAUAUUAUCAAAAGUUUGGUUUUUAAAUCCCCGCAAUGUACUUUCCUUUUAUUCUCGAUAUUAAGUUAGUGGAUGCCAUCAUUACUUUACAGUAUACUUAGAUUAUGGGCCAGCCGUUUAAUCGUGUAAGUCCUUCAUCAACAAAACUUUCUGAGCUACCGGUAUCUAUCAACGCCGACACAGAUAGGUUAUUUACAGAUAUAUUCAGUACAGUUGUCUUCAGUCAUUGAGUAUUGGAGGUAGAGGCCAGAAUUAAGGCCGAUGAAAUACUACUGACCUUUAGAGAAGACUUGAGCACUUUAGCGUAAUGUCUGUUCUUUGAACAUUUUCUACAUUCAGAGUUCCUAGCGGGACAAACAUUUCUAGGAUAACUAGAAUAGUCACAGAACAAGCAAUAAGAUGAGUUUUCAAGCCUAGAAGAAUUAUCAAACAUCGAUAUAAUCGGGAGUUGCAAUGGGUGCGACCGAGUUAACAAUAGAAACUUGAGGAUGAGGCUGAGAGUAAGUUACAGAGUGUUUCUGGGCCAUGUCAAGAGACGAUGCCUGUUCAUAGGCAGACCUCAGACCGAGUGAUGAGUUCUCAAGUAACCGAAGCGAAUGUGAGAAGAAUUCAGGCCAUUUAUAAGAGUCUCUCACAUAAUCUUCCCGAACUUCCUCUGGAUUAGAGGCCUUGAAUUCAAAUUGUUUUCCCAGCAAUUUCUAGGCUUGGAGAAACUCAUUUAGAGAUUCACCACCGGCCUGUUUUCUCGAGGCUAAUUGAUACCGUCCAAAGAUUUCAUUUUUUUUUCCGAAUGAUAAAGAACUAAGAUUUUUUAAUGCCUCUUUACAGUCUUAAAAUAUUCAUGGACGGUAGGACUUGUAUAGUGGUUCAGUAAUGGUAGUUUGUCUCCUGAAUCAGAUUCUUUAGUAAAGACUUUCGAUAGAAAACUUGCAAAUGAGUUACGCCAAUUGAUCCACUUUUUAUUAGCUGAAGGUUCGCUGGGGUCAGCAUAAAAUCUUUCAGGCUUUAAAUACUUUUCCAUGACAUGGCAGAAAAUUGAGAAAAAUAAAUUGUAGUAAAAUAACUAGAAGUUCAUUUACCAAAUGUUGGUUCACUCAAUUGAGUCCAUUAUUUAAUUAACAAUUAUUAACAACGAUACACAGAGCUAAUAUUAUACUUUCCAGCGUGGUAACAACAACCCAAAUUAAUUUAUUUAUUUAUCACAGAACAAAUAAGUCCAGUAUUUUUUCUAUACGACGAGGUUGUUUGAUGGUACCGGACUCCUAUUCACCACAUAAAUAUAAAUGCAUUCGAUAAUUUACUAUUCUUUGACCCUAUUUCAUGCUGUAAAUGUGACGUUUUCAUGUUCCAAAGGACGGAUAUCUGAUGAAGAACAAAUCAGGAAAUCGAUAUUAAUGUAUUUGAUCCAUAGAAUAUUUCAAUAUUAUGAUCGCAUCGAAGGAUUAUAAUGAAGAGCAUGUUUUCAGAUCUACCAACUAAGAACCUAAUCCUACCAACAUCAAUUUUAUUAAUCCUUUCCUAUCUUUGAGAGACCAUUCUGCCUCUAUGGAUAUUAAAAAAAUCAUUAAAAUUAAUCAAGAUAUUCUAAGCAAUAAUUACAAUGUUAUUUUUUUUUAAAUUUUUGCGAAAAUUUUUUUAAUUUUGGGUUGGAGGAAUGGCCUUAUCUUUCUUAUGAAAAGAAAAAAAAAAUAGAUAGAAAAAGAGAAAUUCAGUUUUUAAUUGAAUAUGUUAACAACGCAUCACUAGUAGAUCACUAAAUCAUGGAACAUUCUUCGGCAUCCAUAUUUGCUCAAUUUUGAAAAUCUUGGAAUAUUAUUUUUAUUCGGCAUAUUGAUUGCCAAGAAUUACCACCAAGAAUCUAAAUCCUUGCUCCAAGACUUCGAUACAAUAAAAAAUGACUACAGUAACACAGCAUAAAGUUGAUAAUCCUCCCUCCCAAGGUGAUGAGUUCGAUAGCCGGGUACUCGGAGAUACUCUAUGGGAUCCUUAGUUUGGGUUAGAAUACGCAAAGAGGAAAUAACCGUUAAUAAGAUAUUGAAGGAAACCAUGGAAUUGAUAGCAUCUCUCCAUUAAAGUUACAUACUAUUUCUAUCGUUUAUUUUGAUGAAAACAUAAUUGGUAAUUCGUUUGCUUGAAGUGAAAUAUGAGCAUGAAGAGCUUGCACGGAUGAGUUAACUUGAAAGACUUACUAUAUUAUUGUUAAAAAGGUACACGGUAUAAAUAAAAGAUAAUAUCUGAUGAAACAAUUAAAUCCAACAAUCUAUGAUAGAGAGUCCUUGAUUACCAACUGAGAGUCUGAGUCUGGGACUGUAACAUGCAAUAAAAUAAUCUAAAAUUCCUAAUGAAUUUAGAUACUAUUAUUUUUGUUUAUUCCAUAAGCUGGUUUCAGCUGGUCGACCGACACGAAAUCUGUGCGGUGUCCAAAAUCAAUUCUGAGCGCUCUUGUGCCCCUUUCCACUACCUCGAACGAUACUAUAUAUGUUGGAGUUAAAGCUGGUCUUAUUGACUUAUUUUUCAAAAAACAUAUUUUGCUUCCUUUCACCAUCCCAACUCUGAUUGUACCCUAACCGGUAGUUCCGCUUGGCUCCUGGGGAUAUAGUGUUUAAAAUGUCCUUAAACUUCCGGAAGAAGCUUUUUGUGUCAGAAGGAUUUGGUAACUCCAAUAGAGACUCCUCAAAACCUUACUAUUACUAAUUACUGUACAUUCUCUCAAUUGUACUCAAUAAUAAUCUUCGUAGAUAUUAAAAAUAAUAAAAGAAUUGUGUUGAAUAGUUUUCUAGUAAUGUCCAUAUUAUGUAAAUAAGAUUUAUUUGGAUUUUGGGCUCUUAUUUGUAUUUUCGACCUCUAUUUGCAUUUUCGACCUUAUUUUGCAUUUUUCCCGCCUUUUUUAGGUAAAAAAAAAAUUCAGUUAUUAGAGUAAAGGGAGGAUUUAGUGCGAGUAUUGGAGGAAGAAGAGAAGAAGAGGAAAUGGUGAAUCCAUUGGCGCCAUGAAUUAUAAAGGGAAAAGUAACUGGAUAUUCAAAAAUAUCUAUCUUGCCAAAAAAAACUAUUUAGAUUUUUUACAAUCCGUUUUUUCUCUAUAAAUAUAACCGGACAUCCAAUAGAAAUUAGAAUUUAUUUUCCAUAUAGUUCUUUAAAAAUGUUUUUAUUAUUUCAUCAUUUUAUAAAAAAAAAUAUUGGAUCAAAAUAGAGAAGGUUUAACAAUCUGGACUAGUUUUUAUAUUUUUAAAUAGUAAAUAUAUAUUAAAAAAUCCUUCAUUUUCUUUAAAACAUACUUACAUAGUUUUAAAGUAACCUUGUGUACAUUUUUAGCAAAAUAAGUAAUAAUGAUUUUCUUUUUCAAUAAGCCUUAAAAGAUGCAUGUCCUCAUAUGAGGACGUCCGUCAGAUACGUACAUUUAAAAGAAAAUUUCUUUUUGAAAGAUAUAGUGCACCAGUUAUUGCGUUGCAUAUAAUUUAUGCAUUAAUUUCUAUGUAUUUGCUUUGUGUUUGUGUGUUCUUUGUGUUUGAGCUUUCAGUGAAUAAAAUUUUCAACAGCUUCGUCAGUGUGUUAUAGGUCAGUGAAACAGUUUGAUGAUUUUCAAUUGCUGGUUUUUGUUAAACUGUUUGAAAACACGAGUUCAUAUCGUACAAGACUGUCUCUCUGUGUAAUUGAAGUAUUGUCACAACAAGAAGAAUCGUUGAUUGAGGAUGAAGAAAAUACUUUGGACAUUGCUAUCAAUCCCCCAAAUGUGGACGACCUAACGGAUGACGAGGAUAUUGAUGACGAUCUACUAGGCCUUCCACAAGUUACAGACGUUACUGGAACUAUUGAAAGACUCGCCCUAAGAUUAUAUAAAAUAAUUUGAUAACUAUAAAUCCAAAUUGUUUUGGUGUAAAAAGGACACUGUUUAUACAUAGCUCCAUCAAAGGCAAGGCAAUGAAAUAUUGAAACUCGAUCAUCUUACCGAAAAAAUGAUGGGUUUAACACCUAAGGAGAUGUUUGACAGUCUUUUUAGUGAAGCAAUUUUUAACCAUAUCAUCACUGAAAGCAAUCGUUAUGUGAUUCAGGAUAAGAACAAAUGUUCAUUUUCUUUAUAUACUAAGGAAUUGAAAAUAUUCAUUGUAAUAUUGAUAUUUUCUAGCUAUCAUAAACUUCCUUCCGAGCGAGACUAUUGGUCAUCUUUGGAAAAUUUAGGUAUAGAUUUGAUCAGAAAAGCCAUGCCCAGGGAUCGAUACCUAAAAAUUAAACAAACUCUCCAUUUCUGUAAUAACGAAGAAGCUGCCGAUAGCAGAUAUGACCGUGGUUUCAAAAUUUCACCUAUAUUAUCUAUGCUUCAGAAGAACUUUACUAAAUUUUGAAUUUUCGAGACACUUAUCACUGUAGAUGAGAUGAUGGCAAAGUAUUUUGGAAAAAAAUCAUUGAAGCAAUUUGUACGAGGGAAACCAAUAAGGUUCGGAUAUAAAUUAUGGACACUUUGCGGACCAUCUUGGUAUUGUUACAAUUUUGACCUCAUAUGUGGAAAAGAAGACAAAAAAAAAAAAAUUGUGAAAGCUCCUUUAGGAUAUAAAGUUGUCACAAACAUGCUGAAAGUCGGGAAAAAUCCAAAGCAGCAUUGUGUAUAUUUCAACAAUUUUUCACAUCCGUUCCUAUGCUAAUGCAUUUACGCCAUGCAAAUAUUGCGUCUAAUGGCACUUUGAGGAAAAAUAGAAUUACAAACAUACCUCCCAUAGAAGAUAAAUCUUUGUAGAAAAAAGCAAGAGGGUCCUUCGGUUUUAGAUUGGAGUCGAAUCAAGGAAUUCUCAUAGCAAAAUGGAAAGGUAGUAGUAAUGUUACAGUCGGGACCAGCUUUGAUAAUAUAGAAAACUUAUCAAAUGUAAAUAGAUGGUUACCUGAAGAAGGCAAGAAAGGUACUAUCAUGAGACCACAACUAAUAACAAAUUAUUCUAAAUACAUGUGAGGAGUCGAUCUUCAUGAUUGGCUGGGUGGGAAAUAUCCCAUUUCCUUCCGAGUAAAAAAAUGGUACUGUGCUUUGCUGAUUCAACUGAUUGAUAUGGCAGUAACGAAUGCUUAGAUUAUUCACAAACAGCUUAUUUGAAAGGAGACUCCAAAAAACUAUAGUAAAACCAACGGAUCCCAUCGAAGAUAUUCGUUAUGACCAGGUAUCUCAUUAUAUCCGACAAACAGAUAUCGUAUUGGUGUCGUAUGAAAUCUUGUAUAUCAAAAACUAGAACAUAUUGUGAAAAAUAUAACGUUACACUUUGUAUUAAAUGUUUUAAGGCGUAUCACAUGAAAUAAUCUAUGUAUAUAUUGUGAUCUAUUAUCACUCUACUUUAACUGGAUGCCCUCAUAUGAUGACAGGCCAUAUCAUUAGAAUUAAUAAGAAUAAAUACAAAUUAAACUUAAAUAUAUAUCACUGGAACAUAUCAAUAGUAGUAAUGUUUUUAGUUACAUAAUAUUUUAUAUUAACUUUAUGGCAAUUCUGUUGAAAAACAAUCACUUUUAAUGAUUUGUACCUAUAUAACAGCGUCCAUUAUUUAAUGCAAGGACUCCUGUAAGCAGGACAAGACACAGCGCUCACGCGUUUCCAAUAUGGGUCUUUGUUUAUUCUAUAUAGAAUGUCUCUCUUGAAGUGUUUUGCUACAAAACAAAGAGUUUUUAAAAGUAUUUUGCUAGGGAAAA